UUACCAACGGAUUACUUUGGAUAUCUCAAAAACUAAAACCCUCGAGAACACCAUCUCUCCUUACAGGUCAAAGCUGCACUCUGGAUCACCUACAAUAAAUUCACAACUAUUUUGAUAAUCGUAUAGAAAUAACAUGAAAAGGUGAGAAAAAGGAAUUAAGAAACAGGUAGAGAGGAGGAGAGGCAAUGAGUUGGGUGCAUAAUGGCAUCUUAACAUCUCGAACGGAGUGAGGAGAGAGGAAGUGAUGGAGGGCAGGAUGAAGUGUAAGACCUUUCAU